rnacentral:rRNA from 1 species
GACGAACGCUGGCGGCGUGCUUAACACAUGAAAGUCGAACGAAGUGGCGAACGGGUGAGUAAUACGUGAGUAACCUGCCCUACUUUUUGGGAUAAGCCGUGGAAACGGGGUCUAAUACGGAAUAAAGGGGGAUGGGCUCGCGGCCUAUCAGCUGGUUGGUGGGGUGUUGGCCUACAAAGGCGGUGACGGGUAGCCGGCCUGAGAGGGUGACCGGCCACGUUGGGACUGAGAUACGGCCCAGACUCCUACGGGAGGCAGCAGUGGGGGAUAUUGCACAAUUGGCGAAAGUCUGACGGAGCUACGCCGCGUGAGUGAUGACGUCCUUCGGGUUGUAAAGCUCUGUUAAUCGGGACGCGGUACCGGAAUAGAAAGCCACGGCUAACUACGUGCCAGCAGCCGCGGUAAUAC